ensembl:lincRNA Gm31678 predicted gene, 31678
GUCAUGGCGUUUCCUCACAGCAAUAGAAGCCCUAAGAUACAGCCAUCCACGUAUUUUGUAUUUAUUGUUUUAAAGAUAGCAUCUCGCCAUUUAGCCCUAGUGGCCUAGAAUAUUCUGUCAUCAUCGAUGACAAAGAUUUGGUUACAGUCCUCCUGCCUUGGCCUUCCGGGCCUUGGAUUACAGGCUCCUGUAGGACCAUGGUGGUUGCGACUCUGCUUCCAGUUAGAUGUUCCCUGGCUUCCCAUCUCGUUAUUCUGAUGCUUCGAUCCUUUUUGUCAUCAAGACCUGCCUGCCAAUGCCUUGCAAAGCAAAUCUUUGCCAUGUCGCUGAUGACUGAGGACACAGAGGAUUCGGUUGCUGGUCUCAGCUGUGGUUCUACUUUGCUGGAAGUUUUGAAGUAUCAUGAAACAGAAAGAAGUUGAAUUAUAUAUUUUAUUAAAUAUUUUGUAUUUGG